GAAAGUGAAAUAGCAGCAGCAAACGUCAACAAAAGGAAGAAAUUGGCGCCUUUCACUGACGCUAUGUUAAAAGCUUUCGUUCGCGCCAGCGGUAGUACGUUCGCUCUUUUUUAUUCCGAACGUCGAUCAAGCCAGAAGUGUAUGAAGUGUUAAGUUCAACUUGUCGAAAUAAAAAAAAAAAAAGUCAAAUUUUCUUCCGCUGGCAAGAAAGCAAAUGCUUGUGCCUUUUGUGGGAAAAAAAAUAAAGUUCACAAAUUAAAUUCAAAAGAGUGUAAUUGUUCUGUUUAACCGCUUUGAAGGGUACAACCAUCAAAGCCGCUAAAAUAUUUGCGGAAGAAGUAUCAGACCUCGGGCCUUGAUCAGCUGUCUGCAACAACAAACCUUGCCUGGGACUUCCACUCGGUCGGCCGCAGUGCCUAGAGGGAGAAUAAACGGCAGGAAAAAAAGAAGAGAGCAACUUCCAGGCUAGCUUUCCCGUCCACUCAACACCCGGCAGCUUCUACUUUAAUUUGGGAGUGUAGAAAAGGCGGCUAUAGCGACCAAACGUCGGCGGGGGCGCGACCCUUUUUAAAUCGGCGACCAAACGUUAAAAUAAGUAUCGGAACUCGCCCGGAGGUGUUACCCAUUUUUUUUCUUAAUUUUUGUUGUUGUUGGUGUCGGUUUAGUGCCCGAAAAAAAGUAAAAAUCCCGAGUAAAUUCGGGUAAGAUUGCAGUGGCGCGCAAGCGCCGAAGAAGCCGUAUGCCGGCGUAUUAGUAUUUAUAAGGUUAGGCUAGUUUUUUUUUAUAUAUGUUAAUUUGUCCAAAUCAGUGGCAAAAUUUUAUUUGAAGUGCUCGUGAUAUGUAUGGUUUUAAUUGUUAAGCCACUGUUUUAUUUUUGCAUUUUUUUUUCUUGUUGCCUUAUUCCGUAAUUCGGAAGGCACCAAUUUUUUUUAGUGAGAACGUGAGAGCGAUUAUUGGUUCUCUCUUGCGCUUGUGCGCUUUACUUUGCUUCCCGCGGUUUUUUUUGUUUGCGCGCUCUUAUUCCAGCGCGGUGUCUUUUUUUACAGCUACGCUCGUUCCAGACGGAAAGCGCUUUCUGCGUGGGAUCAGCAGCCCAGCCCGCUAUAAUAUCACCAUACGGGACCUCAAACAGCCGCUUCUUCUUUCUCAUCCAACCGAAAGGAACAUUGUGCAGGAUUGGAUCAACUUAUAAUGCUGAACCCAGAGCUGGCACGGGAUACCCGUAUCAACAAUGCAAUGCGGGCUGAUUUCAGUCGGCGCUUGUUGACUUCGGCGCAGAUCGUGCAAGUUUUGAAAUCAUGGAAUAUGGAUCUAGACAAGAAUCUGGUUGAGAUACCCGCUCGCGUUCUGAUGCCAGAGAAAAUUAAUUUUGGCAACCAGAAGCACUACGCUCUGAUUGGACUGGCGCCACUUAUGUUACAGAAAAGGUUGUCGUCCGAGCAGACAAAAUCGUGAAGUAGGAAGUUUCCCUUCACAGUUUCAAAAACUCCUCAAUAAUUAGUGUUGUCUAAGGGUGCAAAGAGCGUGCAGAAAGCUCGACCAAAUGGAGUAGAUGGACAUUAUUAGAAGCGAACUGUUGCAUACUUACUUGCGCCAAACUUACACCAAACACACCACGUCUACCACCGUGCGAGGUGAGAGGUCAGAAGCUCUAAUACGAAGACACAAACCACACAGUCUCGUCCUCCAAUAAAGGCAUGGUCGAGAUAAUUCAUCGUAUUUGUUUAUAAAAUCUGCAAUCUAAA